rnacentral:rRNA from 1 species
AGUGAACGCUGGCGGUAGGCCUAACACAUGCAAGUCGAACGGCAGCACAGUAAGAGCUUGCUCUUACGGGUGGCGAGUGGCGGACGGGUGAGGAGUACAUCGGAAACUACUUUUUCGUGGGGGAUAACGUAGGGAAACUUACGCUAAUACCGCAUACGACGUACGGGUGAAAGCAGGGGAUCUUCGGACCUUGCGCGAUUGAAUGAGCCGAUGUCGGAUUAGCUAGUUGGCGGGGUAAAGGCCCACCAAGGCGACGAUCCGUAGCUGGUCUGAGAGGAUGAUCAGCCACACUGGAACUGAGACACGGUCCAGACUCCUACGGGAGGCAGCAGUGGGGAAUAUUGGACAAUGGGCGAAAGCCUGAUCCAGCCAUGCCGCGUGAGUGAAGAAGGCCUUCGGAUUGUAAAGCCCUUUUGUUGGGGAAGAAAAGCAGCAGGUUAAUACCCCGCUGUUCUGACGGUACCCAAAGAAUAAGCACCGGCUAACUUCGUG